rnacentral:rRNA from 1 species
GUCUUUUAGUUAUUUAUUUAAAGUCUAACCUGCCCAUUGAUAAAUUUAAAAGGCUGCGGUAUUUUGACCGUACAAAGGUAGCAUAAUCAUUAGUUUUUUAAUUGAGAACUUGUAUGAAAGGUUGAAUGAGAUAUUAGCUUUUUUAAAAGAAAAAUUGAAUUUUACUUUUUAAUUAAAAGGUUAAAAUAAAAUUAAAAGACGAGAAGACCCUAUAGAGUUUUAUAAUUUUAUUUAUAUAAUUUCAUAUGUUUAAUAAUAAUUAUAUAUUAUAAAAUUAUUUUGUUGGGGUGAUAGUAAAAUUUGAAAAACUUUUAUUUUUUUUUACAUUAAUAUAUGAAAGUUUGAUCCAUAAAUAAUGAUUAUAAGAUUAAAUUACCUUAGGGAUAACAGCGUAAUUUUUUUUUAAGUUCUUAUUAAUAAAAAAGUUUGCGACCUCGAUGUUGGAUUAAGAUUAAUUUUAGGUGUAGCAGUUUAAAAUUUAAGUCUGUUCGACUUUUAAAUUCUU